rnacentral:lncRNA from 1 species
ACCAGGCAGAGCGCGUGUGGCCGCCGAGCACAUGGACCCACUGGUCAAGCGGGCUCGGCAAGGCCAGGAUGAAGAGAAGCUACGAACUUAGCAUUCCCAGAGCCCCCCGAGUGGAUAUCCGCGUGGAAAGGAUGUUGGCAGCCCCGGUGACCUCGGAGUCACGGCUGGAUCCACCCUCUUAGAGCCGAGUUCUGUCACCACAGACAUUGGCAGUGGCACUUGCAUGCCCCUGGCAAGCAGUCUAUCCUGAGGUGGAGGAAGUUGCCCUUGAGUUCUGGCUGGUAACCAGCACAGUAUACCCUUUAAGCGUUCCAGAAGGAUUUUGAGAUCCUUUCCUAAAUCAAAGGUGGAAUAUUUGGGGAUUUGGAAAAUUGAGAUGUGAAGCGUUGACUUAAGAGAUGCCAAGUAACUCAGCAGAUGUCACACAGACGAUAAAUAGCAAAGAUGGAAGUCUUCAUGCCGGAGGCAAUCCUAUAAGACAGCUGAGUUCUGCAGAGCUGGAGACAGACUUGCUCAGGUGAUAGAUCCAGCCAUGAUACUGACCCUAAGAGAAUGAGACGCUCUGCAGAAGACAGAAGAUUCCUGAAACUGGGAAAGGUGCCUAGAAAUCCUGAUAAGAGUGAAGAAGGAGCUGGCAGAGCAGCCUUCCUCCGCACUAUGAAAGACAUCCAACAGAGAGCAAGUUCCCACCUCACUUCCAGCUUGACUCCUUUUUAUCUCCUAACUGUGGUCUGUGAUGUCUUCAGCAAUGGUAUUAACUAGUUCUGGGUACCUGGAGGCACAGCAGCCAUGUUGAACCUAUGAGGUGAUGAAAAACCAUGCAACUAGAAACCAGAAUGGAAGAAAAGAAGAAGCUGGAUCCUUGACUGAAUUGUCGAUGGGGGAUAGUCCAUCAUCCCAGGGCUAAGACCACCUCCAGAUUUCUUGUUUGGUGAAACAAGUCCUGAUUGUUUACAUUCCCUCGUGUUGAGCUGUCUCUUGCUUGUAGCUGAAAGCAUUUCUAAUAGAUAUUCAGAUUAUCAGCCUUAGCUCCAAGCUAGAAUACUCUAUGGGACCUUAGCUUCUCCAUGAAUUCCUUUGCUCAUCUGUGUAAUGCUCAAUAAAUGUAAAUUGAACCCUGAAUGAGGGACAAUGACA